rnacentral:rRNA from 1 species
GACAGAGGGUGCAAACGUUGUUCGGAAUUACUGGGCGUAAAGCGAGUGUAGGCGGUUCGAUAAGUCGGAUGUGAAAGCCCAGGGCUCAACCCUGGAAGUGCACUCGAUACUGCUCGGCUAGAGUCCCGGAGAGGAUGGUGGAACUCUCGGUGUAGAGGUGAAAUUCGUAGAUAUCGAGAAGAACACCGGUGGCGAAGGCGGCCAUCUGGACGGUGACUGACGCUGAGACGCGGAAAGCGUGGGGAGCAAACAGG